rnacentral:rRNA from 1 species
CCUACGGGAGGCAGCAGUGGGGAAUAUUGCACAAUGGGGGAAACCCUGAUGCAGCGACGCCGCGUGAGUGAAGAAGUCAUUCGUUAUGUAAAGCUCUAUCAGCAGGGAAGAAAAUGACGGUACUUGAGUACUAAGCCCUGGCUAACUCCGUGCCAGCAGCCGCGGUAAUACGUAGGGGGCAAGCGUUAUCCGGAUUUACUGGGUGUAACGGGAGCGUAGACGGCAGGGCAAGUCUGGAGUGAAAGGCGGGGGCUCAACCCCCGGACUGCUCUGGAAACUGUACAGCUGGAGUGCAGGAGAGGUAAGUAGAAUUCCUAGUGUAGCGGUGAAAUGCGUAGAUAUUAGGAGGAACACCAGUGGCGAAGGCGGCUUACUGGACUGUAACUGACGUUGAGGCUCGAAAGCGUGGGGAGCAAACAGAAUUAGAUACCCGAGUAGUC